rnacentral:lncRNA from 1 species
UUGGCCCCACUGUGCACCACACACUCCUUUCCCAGCCCAGGGGCACGCGAACAAAAUGAGGCUCAAGCUGACCAGGCCGAGCCGGAGGAACGCUGGGGCUUGGCAGCAGAAGGGAUGGGACCAGAGAGAAGGGUGUGGAGGAGACCCCAGUGAGGGCCAGGACAUUUCAGGUAAAGAGAGGUCAUAUCUCCGUACCUCACUUCCUGACACAAACAAGUUUUCACUGUUGUCAGCAACAAAGCCCUAAUAUAGCUGCGGAAGAGAAAAACUGCAUUGCAUUUUGCCUCCUGCAAGCAUCAUCAACAGUUACUGGAGGAACGUAAUUCCAGAAAGCUUGAAAGCCGUGGUGAUGGUAAUUAUGUAUCAAAUGCCUGGUUCUAUUUCUGUUAUUAUUGUUUUGUCAUUUCUGUUUUCCCAGCGAUCUGACUGAACUCGCAGAGGGACAAAUCCAGUUUUUCUUUUUGACUUUUGUCAAACUAAAUCAGGCCUGAUAGAAAACUCAUUGCUCUCCGGGGAAACAAAGUAGGAGCCACGAAAUGUCAUUUUAACAGAGCGUGGGUUUGGUGACUGUAGGAAAGGAUUUGAGGACGCUCCUUCUGUUCGGCUUCCUAUGUCAUGAGCACAGGCUCCACGCACGCACAGACACCACGGCUCCCGGAUGCUGUGGCUCCCCGAUCGGGGCUCCUGCAGCGCCAGAAGCCCCUCCGGGAUGCUUCGAGGGGCUCCCGGUGGGUGGAGGUACGGACGCCGCUGCGGCCGCCGCCGCCAGUCCUGCUGCUGUUGUUGCUGCUGCAGUCACGUGGGAGCCCCUUUAAGUUUCCAUAGAGAGGCCUCUCUGGUGUCACAUGAUGGACAUGAUAUAAUGAAACAACAUUGUGGAGAGGAAAGCAUUAGGGGAGCCCACGGCUACAAAAACAAGUGAGUGAGAAGAGGUGGGAGGAAGAGAAACUACGCCACCUCCCCUGCAGCCGAGUGCACGCAGCAGCCUGGCGUGACAAGUGGGCGACGCCGGGGGGCAGGGAGCCGGGGUCCUUGGCCCUGGCCGGGGACCCCACCGCCCACCGCGCGGAGGACAACUUUUAGCCGGCAGCCCAGACCAGCGCGGCACCUGUCUCCGGAGUCUCCACCGCUCCUCCCGAUUCAUCCCAGGGAAAUUCUCAAGAAUACGCUCUACAAAUCUACGUGCGCAUCAUUUUCACCUCGCGUCGCGCCCGGGAGGAAGGAACGAGGCAAGGAGCUAAAGCAGCGUGCGUUCAGCCCUGGGGCAUUUUAUUAAUGCUUUUACGAGUUAGAAGAGUUGGGAUAAUUUGCCAUCUGGAGUUUCUCUGCCUUGCUGAUCUGAGCUCAGACCUGCCAAUUUACCAGAGAUAAUUGAUAACACCCUGUAACAGCUGAGAGGAAAAUGGAAGAAACGGAGAUACUUUUAGUGAAGCAGAAUAAACCACUGAACAGGAAGAGGGACUGGAACCAUCUCAGAAGCCAUGCCCCUCAGGCUGGAACUUGCCCUGUCUCCUCGCAGAUGAGCUACCUCUUGUGUUUAAGAAUUAAAGGAAGAUGAGCUAGGAAUCAAGAAAUACGCAGAACUGAUUCCUGUCACUGGCGCCACCCUGCCACUUGCCCAGAGCUGUGGUAUAAAUUUUUUUAAUAGGCUGAAAUAAAAAUAUGAAUAGCAUUUUGGUAUUAAGCAUUAAAUUGAUAAAGGCUAUGAGAUACACCUGCUCUCAACCAUGUUAAUUUUUUAUUAUUGGUAUUAAUAAAUUAUUACUUACUAACAUAUUAACAAGAAUUGCAUUGAGAAACAAAGCAUCCACAGGCCAAAUCUUCUGAAUUUCAAAUGUUUAUAUUAAUGCGUUGUAUUCUAGAAAAGUAGAAUUGUCUUAAGUAGCUUUGUAAUAUAAAGUCAUCUAUCAGCCCAUUACACCUAUUAGAAUGUUUUAACCUUUAUUUCCCACUUUUUUGUUUCUAGACUGAGUGUACUUGGUCUGGUAUUUGUGGCAUAACUUACGGAACACAUAAGAAUGAUACAGAUACUAUUUAAUGAUGACCUAAUACAAGCUUAGAUAGCUAAGGUGAAAGCUUCUAUGGCCUUAACAUUUUCCUCUUGAAGAAUGUAUUUUCUGUAAUAAAAUACAGUGGCUACUUGAAAUCUAUAAACUUAUGUGAGGUCUGGAUAAAUCUGAGCAACUUUCUUCUUUGUGCUCCAGGAACCUACGCACUAUAUAUAUAAAUAAAGCUUAAGUAAACAUCACUGCAA